CCAGAGCCCAUCUAGGAAAGACCCCGGGUCAGGCUUCUCCAAACAGCACCUACAGAAGGACGGGGCCCACUGGGCUCGACAGGAGCCUUCCGGGCCUGGCCAUCCAUCCCAAGCGGGACGGCUUCUGGAUUUUCUGAUGCCUGCGCCGUGUGUCAGCUUCUCCAAGUCGGCACCUGGCUGUCCUUGAUACCGUCGUUCGCGAGAAACCCUCGUUUCCGCACCGGAGUUGAAGCAGCACAGAGGAAAAGAUUCAGAAACUAAGGAUAAAGAUGCAGGAAGAUCGCGAUGGAGAGGAAUGAAAUUGAGGAGCUCUAAUGGAUGGUAUUUCUCUUCUUAGGAAGGAUCACCAGGACCAGUGUCGGCAUUGUCCUGGACAUAUUCUACUUGUUCAAAACUUCUCUGAAGACCUUUCCCUUGUGUUCCCCUUAGAGAAGACUCUCACGAAGAUUACCAAAAUCCUGUUCUUUGGGAUUUUAAUUGACCAAUCCAGCCUUAGUCUGGGAACCCCAAAGCACUCCACCUGCAGACUCUAAUCAAGGAAUGUGCCCAGGUCCUGCUGUGCUCUUUCUGCCUGCACCCUGCCUUGACCUGCCUGCGUGGCCCUUUGUGGCAUGCUGUGUACCUACUCCAGGACCUGGAGGCAGUGCCCUUAUCCGGCUGGAGAUGUUUCCCAUUGAGCCUGGAGAUUUAAUCUGCAGAUUUGCACCAGCGGUGACACAACCUCCUCAAGGGCACUUGCGAAACACGUUUCUGGGUCCUGUGCAAAGUGAGGCAAGCGGAUUCCUGAAAAUGACAGCGCAGUCCAACCACAGCUCAAGUCAAAAGCCAUGAGCACAUCAUGAAAAACAAACCCAUCACUGAACAAAUAUAUGAUAUGUUUACAUUGCAACUAAAUAUUUCACAGUGAGAAACAAGUCUUUUCUGUAAAAA
rnacentral:lncRNA from 1 species